UACGAAGGGGGCUAGCGUUGCUCGGAAUCACUGGGCGUAAAGCGCACGUAGGCGGCUUUCUAAGUCAGGGGUGAAAUCCUGGAGCUCAACUCCAGAACUGCCUUUGAUACUGGAGAGCUUGAGUCCGGGAGAGGUGAGUGGAACUCCGAGUGUAGAGGUGAAAUUCGUAGAUAUUCGGAAGAACACCAGUGGCGAAGGCGGCUCACUGGCCCGGUACUGACGCUGAUGUGCGAAAGCGUGGGGAGCAAACAGGGAUUAAGAA
rnacentral:rRNA from 1 species